CCUGCCCCAUGCAAAGGGAACCAACCGCUCCUGGCUCACCCCUCUCUCUCCGAGGGGGCAGCCGAGGGACCUGGGCGCACCGGUCCUUCGUCCAGUCCCGCCCACCUAGCCGCGACUCCGAGCUGCCGCCUGCUGCCCCCUGCUGUCCCCUGGCUGAUGAGCCUGAGAGCAGCGCGAGCCGACCCGCGGAAAGCCAAGCCCGCCGUUGUGGGACCUGCGGGGACAGAUCCGGCGGGCGGGGCGUCCGCGGGCUGGGCUGGUCCACCUGCGUGCUCUGCGCAUCCUUCUGCAGCUCCUGCGGUUGGUGCGCCGUUUGUUCCCAGAGAUUCAGGUUUGGAAGACGCACCAGUUACAACCGCACAUGCGCGCUGCCUGGCGAGGAAAAGACAGCGGGACUUUGCAUGUCGAUCACAGUGUCACCUUCCAAAUGUAAAAUUCAUCGUCAUAAUGCUGAAUAAGUAGACCUUUUAAACUAUGUCCCCACAAAACUCCAAAAGGAGGCGCUCUCCCUCCUCGUGCGGUCCUUGCGAGGCAGGGGAGAAACCUCAGCUCUGUCCCUGAACAGCCCUCUGAGAGCUCCUCCUGCUUCCUCAUC
rnacentral:lncRNA from 1 species